AAUUCGAUUGAGUUUGAUCAUGGCUCAGGAUUAACGCUAGCGGCAGGCCUAAUACAUGCAAGUCGUACGGGAUUUCGGGUAGCAAUAUCUGAAUGAGAGUGGCGCACGGGUGCGUAACAUGUAUGCAAUCUACCUUUAACUGGGGAAUAGCUCACCGAAAGGUGAAUUAAUACCGCAUAAAAUCACAGAAGGACAUCCUUCAAUGAUUAAACCUACGGGGGUUAAAGAUGAGCAUGCGUCCGAUUAGCUAGUUGGCGGGGUAAUAGCCCACCAAGGCAACGAUCGGUAGGGGGUCUGAGAGGAUGAUCCCCCACACUGGUACUGAGAUACGGACCAGACUCCUACGGGAGGCAGCAGUAAGGAAUAUUGGACAAUGGGGGCAACCCUGAUCCAGCCAUGCCGCGUGAAGGAUUAAGGCCCUAUGGGUCGUAAACUUCUUUUACAGGAGACAAAACCCCUCUACGUGUAGAGGGCUGAUGGUACUCUGAGAAUAAGGGUCGGCUAACUUCGUGCCAGCAGCCGCGGUGAUACGAAGGACCCGAGCGUUAUCCGGAUUUAUUGGGUUUAAAGGGUGCGUAGGCGGAUUUACAAGUCAGUGGUGAAAUCUCCCAGCUUAACUGGGAAACUGCCAUUGAAACUAUUUAUCUUGAGUACAUUUGAGGCGGGCGGAAUGUGUCAUGUAGAGGUGAAAUUCUUAGAUAUGACACAGAACACCAAUUGCGAAGGCAGCUCGCUAAACUGUAACUGACGCUGAGGCACGAAAGUGUGGGUAGCAAACAGGAUUAGA
rnacentral:rRNA from 1 species